GAUCGCAUCCAGGUUACAGUAUUGAAAUUAGAAUCAACCACUAUUAAUAAACAUUAUCUUACAAACUCAGAUCAUCUUCGAUAAGAAGAAUCACUGCCAGUCUACCUCAAUUAUGACUUACAACUGAAUCUCAAUAAUACAACUCUAUCUAGAACCAACCUUGUCAAUCUCCCUGAACAUUCCACUUGUCCUCUGGAUAUUCUAUGACUCUGACUCCUCGCUUAGCCUUAGCCAUACUCGCAAUCUCAAUUCAACUCUAAGCUUUUCUGAAAUGGUUAAAAAAAGAAUAGCAAGGGUGAGCAACAAUGCUCAGCAAGUGUAUAUAAGCAAUAAUAGUCCUGAAUAUCUUAUCAGGGUUCACAAGAUCAAGGUAUGUAAUUGAAAACUUCAUAAUUCUUAUCAGCAAUUGAAAUCAGAAUUUCAAACUUACAGAAGAAUUGUCGAAUUGGAUUCAUCACAUUUUUACUUAAAAACCAAAGGUUAGGCUGCUGAUCAGUCACGCACUAACCCCGAACAUGGCACACAGCCCUGUUCUCUAUACUGGAUCCAAGGCACACCUUGGCCUAUAAUUGACCACGAAUCUGGUCUGACCACGAAUCUGGUCCACAUAUUUUAUAAAAACUAAUCCAAUUCUAACAAUUUAAAUCAACAGACAAUUGAAUCAACAGAACAGAAUCAUAAUCAUUAUCAGCAACAGAAAUAUUUCAAAUCAACUUUUGGGAAUCAACAUUUCAUAAACCACAGUCUGUCUUUUGAUAAAUCAUAGUUCAGGAAAUUCCUAACUAUUCAGUAUCCUCCAUUAUCGGCUAAGCAACUGAAUUUAGCCUGCUAAACCAGCAUGACAAUGGCGGGUUGAAUAAUCAAGAAGAUCCCAUUUCAUUCUAGGCUCUAACUAUCACUGAGCAACACAUGCUUCAAUGACGGUCUGAACUUCGAAUUAAUUUGUAGAACUGGUAUUUUUAAAAUCUUGAGGAUUGGAAAGAAUGGAUCAAAAUAGAAAGUUGAGAGUAAAUAGGUGUUUGGCUUUUCAAAACUUGGAAGAAGAAACAAUCAUGGGUUUCAUUCUCAGAAGUAAGUGUUUGUUUGGGAAGGGUUUCAGUAUAAACAAUAUCAUAAUCUUGACAGAAUAAUCAGAACAUGCAAUAUAUAUAUGAGGAAGGAUUUAGGAAAACUUGCCUUAAAUCCGAUUCCAGUCUCAUAUCUCAAUCUCAUCUUUCCACUUUCACACUCUAUGCAUAUCAUAGUCUCUAGACCAUCUUUGGCUAUACUCUAUUCGCCACACUGCUUCGUUUACUCGAUUCGUUCCUUAUUCGCUUUGUAACAUCGUUUGACCUUCUGAACGUCUUCGAUCGUAUCCGUCUCGUCCAAACCCUUUACGAGAAUAAGAUACUACCAUUAUCACUAAAUAAUCUAUUGAUUCUUAUCUCUACUUAUCAACUCGGUAGCAUAACCUAUCGCAUACACAUAUCACGUAUAUCGAUACCCACUUAUAUAACUCUUUAAACUCAUCAAAUAUCACUUAACACAUAAUCAUGCUUUGACUCUACCAUAUAGUCUAAUCAUAUUUCACAUAACAUAUUAUCAAUUAAAUAUCAUAUAAAUCUUAUCGAAAAUCCGACAUCGUCUCGUCUAUUUAUUAGACUAUCCACCUGUUAUCCUAUCUCAAUCAACAAUCAACCAACCAAAUCCAAUCACUAUAAUCCAUAUGCUUUUAUCCGACAUCUAUCAAGACACGACAUUAUGUCAUUUAAUCAUUUAUCACAUGUAUGUAAUACUAGAACAACCAGAUAGUCCAUGCAAUCAUCAAUUAAUAGCAAUUAGAUCACAUAUAAUCCUAUUCUAUACAUUUAACAACAAUUAUUCACAUUUUAUACUCCACCAUAUUAUUAUGUCACAUUAAAAUAGACUUUAUAAGCUUUAACCUCUCUUUCGUUUCACUCGAUUCUGAAUUACCGAUCACCAGUUAUGCUGAAAACCGUUUCCGACUCCACUUUCGACACAUGUAAUACAUCCCACCGAUAACAGACAACAUAUACACAUUAGGUCUCCCCUCCCAAUUGAUGCCAAAUCAAGUUUUAGGUUCAAAAUGAUUUUUCGGGAAUUUUCUGGAAUUUCUAGACAUUUUUCGGAAUUAAAACAGGUAAAAGAAUCCAUUUUUGAAUAAAUAAUCAAGUCCGAUUGCUCAAGAUCGGGUCCAAAAUCAUUUGAAAUCAAUUAACGAGCCUCAAACAUAUUUUAGAAAAAUAAUUCAAAGCUCGAAACUAUUUUUCAGAAUUUUUAAAUCAAAAGGAACAAUUAAAUCUAAUUAAUUAAUCAAUUAAAAUCAAUUAAUAAUUAACUAAAUUAAUUAAUCAAUUAAUAUUUAAAUUAAUUGACCAAUUAAAAUAAUUAAUUACUAAUUAAAAUUAAUUAAGAAACUAAUUUAGAUUUAUUUUUGAAUAAAGAAAUAAUUAAAAACUAUUUUUGGAAUUUAAAAUAAUUAAAUAAAACAAUUUUAGAAAAUUAAAUCAAAAGGUUUAUUUUGUAAACUUUUGAAAGUUUUGGCCAGGGUUUAAAGUGCAACUUUUCAAAGUUACAGGGGGUAAUUCAUAAGUUUCAAAACCUGAGUACAAACACUUCACCAUCUUCAAAACUUCGGUGACCAAACAGCAAUAAGCCGCCGGCCACCACACUAACUCGCCGGAAAUUCAUUUCCCGGCAUCCUCCACUCGCCAUACACUCCAGAUCAGUAGUACACACACCCAACAACUCAUUCCCAUAAUCAAACUUAGUAAUUAACACGUAGUUUGGCCGGAUUUUGGCCGGAAAGUCCAAGAACACCGCCGGUGUUCAUAAACUCCGGCGAGUUCAACCGUGAAUCCCACACAAAAUCUGAUUAUAUGAACAUAUUCCUCUUGAAACACUCUUCCUAAUGGUAUAAACCAAAACAACGCAGAAUUCCUAGAUUAAAAACGCCUCUUUUUGAAUUAAGAACAUUCAUAACCUCCAAGAACAUUCAAGAACACAACUUCAAGAAUCAAACCAACUUUUCUCUAUGUUAUCGAAGUCAAAAUUCAACAUAUAAUAUACCAAAACGACGAGAAAAACACGCUCUACAUCAUAGAAUCAUCAAAUCACAUAAACGGAAUCGUUUGCAAAAAUUCAUAAUUUAAAAUCAUUUAAUUCGAAUUUUGUAAAAAUCAUGUAAAAUCACCUGAUGAAUCUGCAACGUUAUAGUUGAUUAUACUAUAUUCUACGCGUCGAGAGCUUCGUUUUGACUAUUCAUACGCCUCCAUCGGAUUCCAAUAACACCUCCAAAUCCUCAUUUGAUUACGAAGAACACGAAGAACACACUUCGGUUUCUCUCGGUAUUCGUGCAGAGAAACUGGUGAAAUGAUUUUACGGGUGAAAAUCAGCUAUAGAAAAGUCUAUUUAUAUUUACAAAUAAUUGGUACCCCUUUGGAUCGUUUAUGACAUGAAAAUACGUAUUUAAUAGCUUUAUAUUAAUAAAGCGGGGUCCAAUCGGUACCGGUUUUCG
rnacentral:lncRNA from 1 species